rnacentral:rRNA from 1 species
GACAGAGGGGGCAAGCGUUCUCGGAAUUACUGGGCGUAAAGGGCGCGUAGGCGGAAUGGCAAGUCGGUCGUGAAAUCCUUCGGCUCAACCGAAGAACGUCGAUCGAAACUGCCGUUCUUGAGGAUUGCAGAGGAGACUGGAAUUCCCGGUGUAGCGGUGAAAUGUGUAGAGAUCGGGAGGAACACCGGUGGCGAAGGCGGGUCUCUGGGCAAUUCCUGACGCUGAGGCGCGAAAGCGUGGGGAGCAAACGGG